rnacentral:rRNA from 1 species
UGGGGAAUAUUGCACAAUGGGCGCAAGCCUGAUGCAGCCAUGCCGCGUGUGUGAAGAAGGCCUUCGGGUUGUAAAGCACUUUCAGCGGGGAGGAAGGCGAUAAGGUUAAUAACCUUGUCGAUUGACGUUACCCGCAGAAGAAGCACCGGCUAACUCCGUGCCAGCAGCCGCGGUAAUACGGAGGGUGCAAGCGUUAAUCGGAAUUACUGGGCGUAAAGCGCACGCAGGCGGUCUGUCAAGUCGGAUGUGAAAUCCCCGGGCUCAACCUGGGAACUGCAAUCGAAACUGGCAGGGUAGAGUCUUGUAGAGGGGGGUAGAAUUCCAGGUGUAGCGGUGAAAUGCGUAGAGAUCUGGAGGAAUACCGGUGGCGAAGGCGGCCCCCUGGACAAAGACUGACGCUCAGGUGCGAAAGCGUGGGGAGCAAACAGG